ensembl:lncRNA
AUGAAAGAAGCAAAGCUCUAUCCUUCAUGUCUUCAUCAGCUUCUGCCAAGGCGGCUGGGCCAGGCCGCCUCUGCCAGGUGUCAGUGGGAAUCUCUACACAAACGAUUCCAGAGAGAAGGGAGAACGUUACAUAGUGGAUUGCUUAAGCCAAUACAUAGGGAGAAUUUGCUUGGACACGGCUUGCAAAAGGCAUGCACAGGCAAGUAAGUAAAUGGUGUAUCCAUUGUAAUGCUCAGUCAAUGAAAAGAAGUCCUUAACCUGUCAUACUAUUACCCAUGACUGACGCAUCCGAGCCUUGGCUUGGCAAGAAGUAAGGAUUUAGGCAAUGGGCUGAAGCAGCGAUGCGGUGUAUUUGUGAAGCCUCAUGGUACACUUCUACAGCUCUGUGAUUUCCUUACAUCUCAUCCCUCCCUUAGCCACAAGUGCUUUUAAACCAAAUUUUCAGAACUAAGUAUGUGCUGUAAGCAGCAAGCCACGCUAUCAGCUUACAGGGAUCGCUGCACCAGCCUCAGCUGGUCUGGGCAUCCCCACCUGUCUUGCAGUUAUGGCUCUUCCUGAUGAGCUGAUCCACUUGCUCGGAGCUGGAACAAGCUCCCGGGGAAAUCUAAGUGCUCUGUGCCAGAGAGGGAGGUCUCAUGGGGAUUCAGCAUGCCAGGUGACAGCCAGGAAGUGAAUUACCACCAGUGCUCCUGACUGUGAUACACGGAGGGUACAAGAGAUGGUGGCCUCACUGGGGAUGGCUGAGGGACCCCGCCACCUCUGUCCUCCAUGGCUGCUUCUCUUUGCCCAGGUGUGAGAAGUGCCCCUGGGGCUGCCUGGGGGAUUUGCACCCAGGUGCCCCGUCAAGACUGCUGCCCUGGCUGGUGUGGCCAUCCAGAAGGUACAGAAACAACUACGGGGUUUGCUGGUGAAUGGCAGCUUAUUAACCACAGCAUGCAAAAGUAGAGAAUGAUCAUCUUCGCUGCCCAGAAAGCAAAGGAAACACACUGGACACUUAACUUAAAAUGAGCGUCUUCAGCCUAAAAACACCUAAGGAGAAUGAUGAUAAGAGGCGUUCAGAAAUGCCAGGUUUUAUUACUGGGAUGUUCAGACUUGUAAAUACCGGGGUUGUGGGAGUGGGCAGCUUGAUGCAGAUGCUGGGCAGGCUGCACGCACUGCACUGCACUGCACUGCACUGCCUUGAAGAGCCUCAGCAGUGACUGCAGCAGCCGCUCCAUUACCCUGUCCCAGCCCCUGCACGCGGCCAGGCGAGAGGCGGCUGUCAGCAUGCCGCGUUCUGUCCGCAGCAGCGGGGCCUGCAGGUGCCUGCAGCAGACGUGGCUCUGCGAGGGAGCGCUGGGGCAGGCCCACGUGGGUUUGCCUUCCCUGCUUCUGCUGCUAAGGCAGCGUGCCGCUUCUCUCUCACUCUUGCGCCUUGUUACAACUUUCCAGUUCAUUUAGACAUUUACUAAGACAAACCUGACCCAUCUGGCUCAUGGGCGGGCUUACAGCCCAACGGCACCUCUUCAUGUGCAGCCAACCUCAGCACAAGCAGCAGGGAAAAAACCAUCCCUCUCUUUCCUUAACUGCAUUAAGUCUUGUCACUGAGGGCUGCCGCGCGCUGUGGAUAGUGUAAUGUUCAGGGGAGGCUCCGGUACAGCACAGCACAACCCAGUUCAUGUGUGUGUAGGAGUGGAUCUGGAGUAACUCAGAUCUGAAAGAGGAGCUGUGGGACGUGUAUUUCUUUCCUUUAAUUAGUGCAAUGAGGGAAUUCUCAUCUCCUCCUUCACAGUAUUAUCAAAAGUAUGCACAUAGAUACGCUAUCUUUUGGCUUUUUGUUUUCAGUUGUAUUACUUCUGAAAGGUAGAGCUCAAAGACAGACUCACGGUACAACUGAGUGGCAUCUGAGUAUUAAAACCUACGUGUAUUUCUUAGAUAUGGGACGAGAUGUAUGUGAUCAGCCUCUCUGAUGGGAACACCUCCUCCCAAAGCUCUGAGGAAGUGGGGCUUAGUGCUGCACCUAGUGGCCAGUACGUGUCAGACCAAUGACCAAACCUGAGCUUCACUUCUGCUUCACAGUACUAGUGUCCACAGAUUGGACAGAAUUUCAUCCCCCUCUCUGAAGCAGAGCGUGCUGCUCCCCUGGAACAGCUUGUGUGCUUCACGUGGCUUCUGCUCUGCCCAAAAUACUAACGGAGAGAACAACCGAAGCCAGAAGAGCCUCUUUUACUCUGCCAAGCAAACCUCGAGCGCCGCCUGCGGCACAGAGCCGGGUCAUGGAGAUGGCGGUCAGAGGGGGAUCUGGGACCUGGCAGCGCAGUGGUGGCAUCACUGGAGAGGGGAGGCACCGGCUGGGCACAGAGAGAGAGUCGACAAAAACAUCAGACCUUUUAUAACAUAACUGCGUGCUUUAUUGAUAUACACAGUAAAGCAGUAUAUAAUACAAUAGUAAGGCAUAUAUUUGGUGAAGUCUGAUAUGUUGUGAAAAAUGCAGUAAAACAGAAGUUUAUAAAAAUAAUUAGUAAAUGUUACAGUGUUGGUGUUAAAACACAAUAUAUUAUGAUAUCCAAGUAAUAAACCAGUACUAACAAUGAAAUAACA